CACGUAGGGCGCAAGCGUUGUCCGGAAUUAUUGGGCGUAAAGAGCUCGUAGGCGGUCUGUUGCGUCUGCUGUGAAAACCCGGGGCUUAACCCCUGGCUUGCAGUGGAUACGGACAGACUAGAGGUAGGUAGGGGAGAAUGGAAUUCCCGGUGUAGCGGUGAAAUGCGCAGAUAUCAGGAGGAACACCGGUGGCGAAAGCGGCUCUCUGGGACGGUACUGACGCUGAGACGCGAAAGCGUGGGGAGCAAACAGG
rnacentral:rRNA from 1 species